rnacentral:rRNA from 1 species
CCUACGGGAGGCAGCAGUGGGGAAUAUUGCACAAUGGGCGAAAGCCUGAUGCAGCGACGCCGCGUGAGGGAUGACGGCCUUCGGGUUGUAAACCUCUUUCAGCAGGGAAGAAGCGAAAGUGACGGUACCUGCAGAAGAAGCGCCGGCUAACUACGUGCCAGCAGCCGCGGUAAUACGUAGGGCGCAAGCGUUGUCCGGAAUUAUUGGGCGUAAAGAGCUCGUAGGCGGCUUGUCACGUCGGGUGUGAAAGCCCGGGGCUUAACCCCGGGUCUGCAUUCGAUACGGGCUAGCUAGAGUGUGGUAGGGGAGAUCGGAAUUCCUGGUGUAGCGGUGAAAUGCGCAGAUAUCAGGAGGAACACCGGUGGCGAAGGCGGAUCUCUGGGCCAUUACUGACGCUGAGGAGCGAAAGCGUGGGGAGCGAACAGGAUUAGAUACCCUGGUAGUCCACGCCGUAAACGGUGGGAACUAGGUGUUGGCGACAUUCCACGUCGUCGGUGCGCAGCUACGCAUAAGUUCCCGUCCGUCGGGUAGGUACGGCCGCCGACGACGUAAACUACAAAGGAAGUUAGACGGCGNGAGACGUGCCGACGACGACGACGAGGGAGUAGG